rnacentral:misc_RNA from 1 species
GAUGAAGUACGCAGUGAAAUGCGAUAAGUAAUGUGAAUUGCAGAAUUCAGUGAAUCAUCGAAUCUUUGAACGCACCUUGCGCCCUUUGGCUAUUCCGAAGGGCAUGCCUGUUUGAGUAUCAUGAAAACCUCAACUCUCAUGGCUUGCCAUGAUGAGCUUGGACUCUGGGGGUCUUGCUGGCUUUACGGUCAGCUCCUCUCAAAUAAAUCAGCUUGCCGGUGUUUGGUGGGAUCACAGGUGUGAUAACUAUCUACGCUUGUGGUUUUCCGCCAGGUAACCUUCAGCAAUGGAGGUUCGCUGGAGCUCAUAAAUGUCUCUCCUCAGCGAGGACAGAUUUUGACCGUUUGAUCUCAAAUCAGGUAGGACUACCCGCUGAACUUAAGCAUAUCAAUAAGCGGAGGA